rnacentral:rRNA from 1 species
AGUGAACGCUGGCGGUAGGCCUAACACAUGCAAGUCGAACGGCAGCACAGUAAGAGCUUGCUCUUACGGGUGGCGAGUGGCGGACGGGUGAGGAAUACAUCGGAAUCUACUUUUUCGUGGGGAUAACGUAGGGAAACUUACGCUCAUACCGCAUACGACCUACGGGUGAAAGCAGGGGAUCUUCGGACCUUGCGCGAUUGAAUGAGCCGAUGUCGGAUUAGCUAGUUGGCGGGGUAAAGGCCCACCAAGGCGACGAUCCGUAGCUGGUCUGAGAGGAUGAUCAGCCACACUGGAACUGAGACACGGUCAAGACUCCUACGGGAGGCAGCAGUGGGGAAUAUUGGACAAUGGGCGCAAGCCUGAUCCAGCCAUACCGCGUGGGUGAAGAAGGCAUUCGGGUUGUAAAGCCCUUUUGUUGGGAAAGAAAAGCAGCAGGUUAAUACCCCGCUGUUCUGACGGUACCCAAAGAAUAAGCACCGGCUAACUUCGUG